AGGAUGAACGCUGGCGGCGUGCCUAACACAUGCAAGUCGAACGUCCUGUCUCGCAAGAGGCAGGGAGUGGCGGACGGGUGAGUACCACGUGGGUUAUCUACCGUGAGGUGAGGAAUACCGGCGAGAAAUCGCCGACAAGACCGCAUAGCCUCGGUGCAAGCCGAGGAAAGCUUUCUCGAGAGAGGGAGCGCCACACGAGGAGCCUGCGCCCGAUUAGCUAGCUGGUGGAGUAACGGUUCACCAGGGCGACGAUCGGUAGCUGGUCUGAGAGGACGAUCAGCCACACUGGGAUUGAGAACGGCCCAGACUCCUACGGGGGGCAGCAGUGAGGAAUUUUCGUCAAUGGGGGCAACCCUGAACGAGCAACGCCGCGUGCAGGAAGAAGGUUUUCGGAUCGUAAACUGCUUUUCUCGGGGAAGAGAACGGACGGUACCCGAGGAAUCAGCCCGGCUAACUACGCGCCAGCAGCCGC
rnacentral:rRNA from 1 species